GUAUUCUUUCGGCAAUACAUAUACAAAAAUUGGAACGAUACAGAGAAGAUUAGCAUGACCCCUGCGCAAGGACGACACGAAAAUUCAUUAAGCGUCCCAUACUUUU
rfam:Octopus bimaculoides Scaffold1473_contig_51, whole genome shotgun sequence.